AGAUCCAGAGAACACAACUAACAGCCUCUCCCAGUCCUAGUGGGGGCAGGAAAACACAGGACACACCAGUGAUGGAUAUAAAAUUCACAGAGAGGGGGCUCUUUGGAGAAGUUCAUCUCUGCACAAAGUCUACUGGCCUGAACCUUGUGGUGAAAGUUCUCAGCAGUAAAGAUCGGGAGAUGCCUUUAAAUGAAAUCCAAGUGAUGAACCAGUUGGAUCACCCUUAUAUCAUGCAGAUGUUUGAUGAGGUGGAGAUGCCCAAUGAGAUCUUUUUCAUUCUAGAAAGCGACACGGCGACCAUCCAUGCUGCAGUGUUUGAUUUCUCCUCCCUGGCUACUGACAGCAUGUGAAGGAGGCUGUGGGGGCUGCCGCUGGACAUGCUGCUGCUGUUUGGCCUCUCUAUCUGGGCACGGCGCUGAGUGCAGGAGACAUAGCCUGCGGAAGAGAAGAUAUUCUGAAGCCGAACCCCUCUUUGCUUUCCCUUUAGCCACACUAACAGCCGACCCCUCAGUCCUCGGAAACUACAGAGCCAGAUGAAGAAGUCACUCGAUUCCUCUGUAUCGCUGGUACCUGCUAAUUAUUUUUCCCUGAACUGCAGCCCGCAGCGGUAAAACCUACUGGCAGCAUUAAGGAUUUGGAUUUUCAAGCAUGACUUGGGACACAACAGCCAAGCAUACGACGCAUUAACUCAAAUCCCAGAUCCUCGCAGGCAACGGGACUGUUUACGGCAUCUCAUAGUGGUUCUGUGUGAGAGCUCCCAGCUGCAGGACCUUGUAGAGUUUCCAUAUGUAAAUCACCAUAAUGAGACCAAGUGACCAACGCAGAAAAUAUUCCCCCGGACCAGAAACCGCUUUCAGAGACUUGUAUAAAUGCUGGUCUGCCAGGCGGAUGUCUAAGAAACAUCGGCAGAAGAUCCUCAUAAUGCAUCUGGAAAAAGAGACCGCACAAUCUUAAUACUCACCAUGCAAAAAACGAAAAGGAUCCAGUACUAAAGACAGACACGCUCCAGUAAUCAGGGGCCAACCCACAAGCAGCCAUCAUGGCACCACCUCUCCAGAGGAGGAACAUUCUGGCGAAGUCUAAAAAUUCAGUAGAACAAGAGCUUGAGAAAAUGCAAGUGCUUCAGAAGGAAAUGCUAGAGAGUCUCAAGAAAAAUGAGCAUUCCAUGAAAGUUGCCAUAUCUGGAGCAGAUAGCCUUUCUGGUUCCAUGAUUCAAGAAGGCUUUGAGCUGGCUACAGCAAAAAGGGCCAAGGAUCGCCAGGAGGUUGAGAAGUGCUUGGCAGAGAUGGAAGCUCGGGAAGCAAUGGGAAGAGGAAGAAAGGGAAGAGAUCAAUCAGUUGAGGCAAGAGCUGCCAGCUGAGGACUGAACCGUCCCUCUACUUGACCCCUCUACUGCCUUGUAAGGACACGGUGGAAGAGCAGAUCCAGAGAACACAACUAACAGCCUCUCCCAGUCCUAGUGGGGGCAGGAAAACACAGGACACACCAGUGAUGGAUAUAAAAUUCACAGAGAGGAGAUGGCUUUAAAUGAAAUCCAAGUGAUGAACCAGUUGGAUCACCCUUAUAUCAUGCAGAUGUUUGAUGAGGUGGAGAUGCCCAAUGAGAUCUUUUUCAUUCUAGAAUAGCGACACGGCGACCAUCCAUGCUGCAGUGUUUGAUUUCUCCUCCCUGGCUACUGACAGCAUGUGAAGGAGGCUGUGGGGGCUGCCGCUGGACAUGCUGCUGCUGUUUGGCCUCUCUAUCUGGGCACGGCGCUGAGUGCAGGAGACAUAGCCUGCGGAAGAGAAGAUAUUCUGAAGCCGAACCCCUCUUUGCUUUCCCUUUAGCCACACUAACAGCCGACCCCUCAGUCCUCGGAAACUACAGAGCCAGAUGAAGAAGUCACUCGAUUCCUCUGUAUCGCUGGUACCUGCUAAUUAUUUUUCCCUGAACUGCAGCCCGCAGCGGUAAAACCUACUGGCAGCAUUAAGGAUUUGGAUUUUCAAGCAUGACUUGGGACACAACAGCCAAGCAUACGACGCAUUAACUCAAAUCCCAGAUCCUCGCAGGCAACGGGACUGUUUACGGCAUCUCAUAGUGGUUCUGUGUGAGAGCUCCCAGCUGCAGGACCUUGUAGAGUUUCCAUAUGUAAAUCACCAUAAUGAGACCAAGUGACCAACGCAGAAAAUAUUCCCCCCGACCAGAAACCGCUUUCAGAGACUUGUGUAAAUGCUGGUCUGCCAGGCGGAUGUCUAAGAAACAUCGGCAGAAGAUCCUCAUAAUGCAUCUGGAAAAAGAGACCGCACAAUCUUAAUACUCACCAUGCAAAAAACGAAAAGGAUCCAGUACUAAAGACAGACACGCUCCAGUAAUCAGGGGCCAACCCACAAGCAGCCAUCAUGGCACCACCUCUCCAAAACCGAAAGCCCAACUGACCAUGCCCUCAACUCCAACUGUACUGAACAGGAGGAACAUUCUGGCGAAGUCUAAAAAUUCAGUAGAACAAGAGCUUGAGAAAAUGCAAGUGCUUCAGAAGGAAAUGCUAGAGAGUCUCAAGAAAAAUGAGCAUUCCAUGAAAGUUGCCAUAUCUGGAGCAGAUAGCCUUUCUGGUUCCAUGAUUCAAGAAGGCUUUGAGCUGGCUACAGAAAAAAGGGCCAAGGAGCGCCAGGAGGUUGAGAAGUGCUUGGCAGAGAUGAAAGCUCGGGAAGAGGAAGAAAGGGAAGAGAUCAAUCAGCUGAGGCAAGAGCUGCCAGUCCAGUCAAACAGAGGAGGAAGGCUUUACAGGACCAACAGCACUAAAGACCAUGAAGCCAAGAAAUUGGGGGUACUAACACUGAGGGCUGAACCGUCCCUCUACUUCGACCCCUCUACUGCCUUGUAAGGACACGGUGGAAGAGCAGAUCCAGAGAACACAACUAACAGCCUCUCCCAGUCCUAGUGGGGGCAGGAAAACACAGGACACACCAGUGAUGGAUAUAAAAUUCACAGAGAGGGGGCUCUUUGGAGAAGUUCAUCUCUGCACAAAGUCUACUGGCCUGAACCUUGUGGUGAAAGUUCUCAGCAGUAAAGAUCGGGAGAUGCCUUUAAAUGAAAUCCAAGUGAUGAACCAGUUGGAUCACCCUUAUAUCAUGCAGAUGUUUGAUGAGGUGGAGAUGCCCAAUGAGAUCUUUUUCAUUCUAGAAUAACCAAGUGACCAACGCAGAAAAUAUUCCCCCGGACCAGAAAUCGCUUUCAGAGACUUGUAUAAAUGCUGGUCUGCCAGGCGGAUGUCUAAGAAACAUCGGCAGAAGAUCCUCAUAAUGCAUCUGGAAAAAGAGACCGCACAAUCUUAAUACUCACCAUGCAAAAAACGAAAAGGAUCCAGUACUAAAGACAGACACGCUACAGUAAUCAGGGGCCAACCCACAAGCAGCCAUCAUGGCACCACCUCUCCAAAACCGAAAGCCCAACUGACCAUGCCCUCAACUCCAACUGUACUGAACAGGAGGAACAUUCUGGCGAAGUCUAAAAAUUCAGUAGAACAAGAGCUUGAGAAAAUGCAAGUGCUUCAGAAGGAAAUGCUAGAGAGUCUCAAGAAAAAUGAGCAUUCCAUGAAAGUUGCCAUAUCUGGAGCAGGUGUGUACAUAUUAGUGAGAGUAACUAUAUUUCCCAGAUCCAAUACAACAUGAAAAUUUGGCUUAAUUCUUUCUAAAUAAGUCUGUCUCCUGCCCUUCCAAUCCUGGACCUUUGUAAAGAGACGUUAGAUACCAUAUUUGUUAUCCUUGGCAUUAUCUCUUACCAAAUUUGACCAUACAAUUAACUUCAUCUGGGACUACUGGCAACUUUCAAAGGUCAACCAUGACUUACUUUGCAUGGCUCAAAGGCCCUCAGAUUUUUCAUGGUUCAUCAAUGCCUGAGUAACUUUGGAUGCAAUGAUUAACCAGCAACUCCUCUGCAUUUGGUACCACCUCCAUCAAAUCAUAAACUACUAACUGAAGAGUCUGGCCCAGAGGAAAGGUUGAUCACCUCCAACUACUCAUGAAGGGGCCAAGGCUGAAGGAAAAAUUAACAGACUUAAAGGAACAGUAACACCAAAAACGGAAGUGUCCUAAAGUAAUGAAUAUAUAAUGAACUGUUGUGUUGCACUAGAUUCCGGAAUUUCACCUGGAAUCAUCACAGUCCAAGCUGUCAGAUAAACAAGAAGAAAUCUACCCAUUGUUUUUCUGUUGUCUCCCUGUCUGCUUAACCUGCAAUAACCAUUUGACUUCAGGUCGGAUCCCACACUUUUCUAAAUGGAGAGUCCUGAGGAUUUGCAUAAGAAUAGCACCCAAUCUGACCGGAAGUCAAAUGCUUUAUAUUACCACAGCUUUAGCAGACCGGGAGACACACCAUUGAGAAACACCUGAAUGGAACUGCACUGCAAAUUCUCAUGGCAGGUUUAUUUAUGUCAUUGUGUCAUUUGGCUUGUAGCCCCUCUGACCACCAAGGAUCAUUAUAGGCCUCUUCUAUCUUUGUUGUCAAUAAGGGAGGGCAGGGGUGCAUGAGAAAAAAAUCCAACGGCACAGAAAGGGAAAAGUGAACUGGAUCAGAGUGAGAGGUAGAUAACAAAGAGAGAACAGUGAAACAAAAUAAAGAAAAGGUGAGGGAAUACUGUGGGAGAAUAGACACUUCCAUUCUUCAUUUCAACCUAGAGUAUCUCAUCUGCUCUUACAUAAUGGUUUUUCAGAGGGGUUUUUCUUUUUUAAGGUUGUUUUUGCAUCACUGCACUUUGCACUGAAGGGGGUAUUAUUUUAAAAGAUUUGUAUAAAAUGUCUCCUUUAACAGACUAUCAGGAAAAAGUGUGGCUUUCCUAAGCUAAAUUGUGAAUCUGAACAUCCUCCAUGGUUGCAUCUUGCAAUACUAUGUAUUCUGGGCCAGUACCCAUUUAAGGUGGGCAGGCUCACUGGUUGGUAUGAUGGUGCUGGUCAUGCCUCUGUAUAGUUCAUACGUUGGAGGAGCAGUAUUUUACCAUGUGGCUAAAAAUUUAGAUUUGUAACUUUGGAGUUGACCACAGCAUGGCAUUGAUCUGUCUUGUUAUGAGCGUUUCCUAUCAUAGCCAUUGACUGCUUGCCCAUGUUCCAGCUGCAUCUUUCUCUCUUUUUUAAAUGUAGAUAGCCUUUCUGGUUCCAUGAUUCAAGACGGCUUUGAGCUCCUUGCCUACCCACUAGAACUGUCCUUACUGCGCUGGACAUGCAAUCCUCCUAUAUUUACUGGUGGAUUUAAUACAAGGAGAGCCUGUCUUCCAUUGUACAGUGGACUGUAGCGGCAACAAUAUAGUGAGCAGGAUGAAUCCCAUAGAUAGCCUUUCUGGUUCCAUGAUUCAAGAAGGCUUUGAGCUGGCUACAGCAAAAAGGGCCAAGGAGCGCCAGGAGGUUGAGAAGUGCUUGGCAGAGAUGAAAGCUCGGGAAGAGGAAGAAAGGGAAGAGAUCAAUCAGCUGAGGCAAGAGCUGCCAGUCCAGUCAAACAGAGGAGGAAGGCUUUACAGGACCAACAGCACUAAAGACCAUGAAGCCAAGAAAUUGGGGGUACUAACACUGAGGGCUGAACCGUCCCUCUACUUCGACCCCUCUACUGCCUUGUAAGGACACGGUGGAAGAGCAGAUCCAGAGAACACAACUAACAGCCUCUCCCAGUCCUAGUGGGGGCAGGAAAACACAGGACACACCAGUGAUGGAUAUAAAAUUCACAGAGAGGGGGCUCUUUGGAGAAGUUCAUCUCUGCACAAAGUCUACUGGCCUGAACCUUGUGGUGAAAGUUCUCAGCAGUAAAGAUCGGGAGAUGCCUUUAAAUGAAAUCCAAGUGAUGAACCAGUUGGAUCACCCUUAUAUCAUGCAGAUGUUUGAUGAGGUGGAGAUGCCCAAUGAGAUCUUUUUCAUUCUAGAAUAGCCUAUGGAAAAAGACAUAGUCGAAUGGACACUUUUGUAACACAUUUACGAGCACUUCAAGCACUUGCACAGCACUGGCAUCUUGUGGUGGAAUAUAGGUACUGCACUUUAAAUAUGUACAGUGUAAGUUUGUUCUGGAAUGUCUAGCACUGUCUAUGACGUCAUACUUGGCGCCAAUUUUAAAUAGUAUAUAAGUAG